rnacentral:rRNA from 1 species
AUACGGAGGGUGCAAGCGUUACUCGGAAUCACUGGGCGUAAAGCGCGCGCAGGCGGCUUGAUAAGUUGGAUGUGAAAGCCUACGGCUCAACCGUAGAACUGCAUCCAAAACUGUCAGGCUAGAGUGUGGGAGAGGAAGAUGGAAUUAGUUGUGUAGGGGUAAAAUCCGUAGAGAUAACUAGGAAUACCAAAAGCGAAGGCAAUCUUCUGGAACACUACUGACGCUGAGGCGCGAAGGCGUGGGGAGCAAACAGGAUUAGAAACCCCUGUAGUCC